CCCAUGGAAUGGUGGCGCACGCCUUUAAUCCCAGCACCCGGGAGGCAGAGGCAGGCGGACCUCUGUGAGUUCAAGGCCAGCCUGGUCUACAGAUCGAGUUUCAGGACAGCCAGGGCUACGCAAAGAAACCCUGUCUAGAAAAACAUACAAAACAAAACAACUCCAUAUAUAUAUUUGUUUUUUCUAGACAGGGUUUCUUUGCGUAGCCCUGGCUGUCCUGGAACUCACUCUGUAGACCAGGCUGUCCUCGAACUCAGAAAUCCGCCUGCCUCU
rnacentral:sRNA from 1 species